rnacentral:rRNA from 1 species
GACAGAGGGUGCAAACGUUGUUCGGAAUUACUGGGCGUAAAGCGUGUGUAGGCGGUCUAUUAAGUCGGAUGUGAAAGCCCUGGGCUCAACCCAGGAAGUGCACUCGAAACUGGUAGACUUGAGUAUCGGAGAGGUUGGUGGAAUUCUCGGUGUAGAGGUGAAAUUCGUAGAUAUCGAGAGGAACACCGGUGGCGAAGGCGGCCAACUGGACGAAUACUGACGCUGAGGCACGAAGGUCAGGGGAGCAAACGGG